CGACGCGAGUGUGAUCACCACAUUCCUCUUAUACCGGGCGCGCAGCCGUUCAACAUACGUCCAUAUCGUCACAAGCCAGAGCACAAGGACGAGAUCGAGCGUCAAGUGGCAGAGUUGUUGCGUACCGGAGUGAUAGCUUCACCGGUAAUUCUGGUCAAAAAGAAGGACGGGACUUGGAGGCUCUGCGUCGACUAUCGUCACCUGAAUGCCAUCACGUGCAUUACAAAGUUUCCCAUACCAGUCAUUGACGAACUGUUAGACGAGCUGCAUGGUGCCUGUUGGUUCUCCAAACUAGAUCUGCGGGCAGGUUACCACCAAAUCAGGCUCGCUGAGGGGGAGGAGUACAAGACAACAUUUCACACACACUCGGGCCAUUAUGAAUUCCGCGUGGUCUCUUUCGGGCUGGCAGGUGGACCGGGGACAUUCAAC
rnacentral:rRNA from 1 species